AGAUGAGAUCAAGAGUCAGGACUAGAUUUGAGCAGGUCGAGGGUAGAUAGGAGCUUUCUCAGAGAGCUGCACUUUAAGACACGGAUCGAUGAGCUAGUGAUAUGAGUUACAUCCUGAUAUACAGAGAUAGGUGUACUAGAUUUAAUUCAGAUGGGAGAGGAUACUGAUAUCCUACGUGCAGAGGUAUGCUCUCUUGCAGAGAGCCAUGUAUAAACUACUUCCUCUAUGAUACCCCCC
rnacentral:lncRNA from 1 species